rnacentral:rRNA from 1 species
UGGGGAUGACGUCAAGUCAUCAUGGCCCUUACGGCCUGGGCUACACACGUGCUACAAUGGUCGGUACAAAGGGUUGCCAAGCCGCGAGGUGGAGCUAAAUCCCAUAAAACCGAUCGUAGUCCGGAUCGCAGUCUGCAACUCGACUGCGUGAAGUCGGAAUCGCUAGUAAUCGUGAAUCAGAAUGUCACGGUGAAUACGUUCCCGGGCCUU